UUGACGGAGAGUUUGAUCCUGGCUCAGGACGAACGCUGGCGGCGUGCUUAAUACAUGCAAGUCGAACGAUCCGGGACUUCGGUCCCAAUGGAGAGUGGCGAACGGGUGCGUAACACGUGAGAAACCUGUCCCGAAGAUGGGAAUAGCCCAGGGAAACCUGGAUUAAUACCCAAUACCCUGAGAGCGUCGCAUGGCGCACUUAGGAAAGGUUCCGGCGCUUUGGGAGGGUCUCGCGGCCUAUCAGCUUGUUGGUGAGGUAAAGGCUCACCAAGGCAUCGACGGGUAGCUGGUCUGAGAGGACGAUC
rnacentral:rRNA from 1 species